rnacentral:rRNA from 1 species
UACGUAGGCAGCGAGCGUUGUUCGGAGUUACUGGGCGUAAAGAGCGCGCAGGCGGUCGUUCAAGUCGCGUGUGAAAGCCCCCGGCUCAACUGGGGAGGGUCACGCGAUACUGAUCGACUCGAAGGCAGGAGAGGGUAGUGGAAUUCCCGGUGUAGUGGUGAAAUGCGUAGAUAUCGGGAGGAACACCAGUGGCGAAGGCGGCUACCUGGACAGUGACUGACGCUGAUGCGCGAAAGCUAGGGGAGCGAACGGG